UACGUAGGUGACAAGCGUUGUCCGGAUUUACUGGGCGUAAAGAGCGCGCUGGCGGUCGUUCAAGUCGAGUGUGAAAGCCCCCGGCUCAACUGGGGAGGGUCAUUCGAUACUGAUCGACUCGAAGGCAGGAGAGGGUAGUGGAAUUCCCGGUGUAGUGGUGAAAUGCGUAGAUAUCGGGAGGAACACCAGUGGCGAAGGCGACUACCUGGCCUGUUCUUGACGCUGAGGCGCGAAAGCUAGGGGAGCAAACGGG
rnacentral:rRNA from 1 species